rnacentral:lncRNA from 1 species
UAAGUCGAACCCAGAAGUUCGAUUUCCAGCCGUCGAACUAGCGGGUAAGUGUAGCCAAGGCCUUACAAAAAGAACUGUCUCUAGGAGAAGGAAAACUCUGAUUUCAAAUGAGGACAGACAGUGAUCGCUUAGCCUCUUCAGGCAAGUGUAUCAAGGAGAAGGAAACUCUGCUUUCAAAUCUGAGCAGUCCAAACUCAUUAGCCUUGGAAGAAGCAUCAAAAGAGGAAGAGAACCAUGGAUUGUACCAACAGUUGGAUGCCACUGUAGAUGAGAUUCCUGAUCGUUAUAAGAUCCUGAUAAUGGGAGAUACGAAUGCAAGGAUCCAGAGACUGCAGUGGUGUGUGCCUGAGUCUGUAGAGAGGACACCCCUCUAA